UCCACGCCGUAAACGAUGGGUGCUAGGUGUCGCGGGCUUUGACCCCUGCGGUGCCGUAGCUAACGCAUUAAGCACCCCGCCUGGGGAGUACGGCCGCAAGGCUAAAACUCAAAGGAAUUGACGGGGGCCCGCACAAGCGGUGGAGCAUGUGGUUCAAUUCGACGCAACGCGCAGAACCUUACCUGGGCUAGAAAAUGCGAGAACCUGGUUGAAAGAUCGG
rnacentral:rRNA from 1 species